GAUGAACGCUGGCGGCGUGCCUAAUACAUGCAAGUCGAGCGAACAGAUAAGGAGCUUGCUCCUUAGACGUUAGCGGCGGACGGGUGAGUAACACGUGGGUAACCUACCUAUAAGACUGGAAUAACUCCGGGAAACCGGGGCUAAUGCCGGAUAACAUUUAGAACCGCAUGGUUCUAAAGUGAAAGAUGGUUUUGCUAUCACUUAUAGAUGGACCCGCGCCGUAUUAGCUAGUUGGUAAGGUAACGGCUUACCAAGGCAACGAUACGUAGCCGACCUGAGAGGGUGAUCGGCCACACUGGAACUGAGACACGGUCCAGACUCCUACGGGAGGCAGCAGUAGGGAAUCUUCCGCAAUGGGCGAAAGCCUGACGGAGCAACGCCGCGUGAGUGAUGAAGGUCUUCGGAUCGUAAAACUCUGUUAUUAGGGAAGAACAAAUGUGUAAGUAACUGUGCACGUCUUGACGGUACCUAAUCAGAAAGCCACGGCUAACUACGUG
rnacentral:rRNA from 1 species